AAAGUACUCCCUCCGUCCCAAAAUUCUUAUCUUAGAUUUGUCUAGAUACGGAUGUAUCAAGUCACAUUUUAGUAUUAGAUACAUCUGUAUCUAGACAAAUCUAAGACAAGAAAUUUGGGAUAGAGGGAGUAGUUG
rnacentral:pre_miRNA from 1 species